CCCUGGUCCUCGGGGGAGAAGUUCUCCACGGUCUGCACCAUAUUUCCGCUAGUCUCCCGCGGGGUGAGGAAGGAGUCCAGAAACCCCAUGACCGCGAAGAACUUCCAUCUCCUCUCCGAUCCUGCUGCAGACCCACUCCUCUUCUCCUUCUCUGUCCUCUUCUCCUUAUUAUAGGUGUCCCUGAGGCUCUUCCACUUUCUCCUGCAGAUGUCCUCUGAAUAAACGCAUUAUCUUGUUAGCGGAAAGAUUAAGUGCAAGAGUUGUUAAGUGUGGAUACGCAGCCCUGCCCUCCUGCACUAUCAGCAGUGGGAGCAGCAGAAACCCCUCAACAGCAACAUUUUACCCCAUCAGGAGGGGAGAGAGACACACAAACAACGAGCGCUCCCGUCCAUUAUUCUUGCUAAUGUGACAAGCUGCAAGCCUGCAUCAACCACUUCCGUGAGUACAGAACUUUCUGGCUUUUAUGGAAUCGUGGUUAAACAACAGCGACGACAACAGCACGCUACACACUUUUCACCACGCCUUCAUCGACAGAGACCGUGAAUGCACUGGGAAGCAACAUGGCGGCAGCUGGUGCCCUACAAUCACCGUGAGGGCUGUUUCCCUGUGUCCCUACUACCUCCUCAGAGAAUUCCCACAGCUUUUCAUCAUCUUGGCCCUGACAACAUCAGCAAUCGUUUGAUCUAUAGUGUUACAUCAUAUUCUAUAAGGAUGUUAUGUGUUUGUAGACUUUCUGCCCAGUUUGACCCAUUUAGCAGACGUCAGCCUGUUUAAGGCUCUGAUGUCUAUUCUGUGUGACUUACAGCAGUUAUGACAUGGUCUGAUUUUCUCACCCAAUAAAGGAAUAUUUCAUAUAUCAGUCUAC
ensembl:lncRNA